rnacentral:lncRNA from 1 species
AAUCAUUUGUAAGCAAAACUUCUGUUUGGAAGUGACGACUGGUAAAAACAAUGAUAUUAACAGAUAUGUAUUGUUUUUAUUUUGAAGUUUGCAGAAUCCAAUAAACGUUCAAGCUUGGUAUUGCUGGAACAUCAUUCUCAAUAUACAAAGAGAUGGUAUAUCUAAUCUAUAAAAAAGGAAAAUUAGUGUUGAUGCAAUUGAAGUUUGUUUAAAAUGUAGAUGUUACUUUGUUAUUUAAUGAUACGUUAUGUUUCAUUAGGAAGACAUUAUGUUACUUUUAAAAUAAAAGAAUUACGUAGCUGUAAUGUAGGUGUUUCUGUUUAA